UACGAAGGGGGCUAGCGUUGUUCGGAAUCACUGGGCGUAAAGCGCAUGUAGGCGGCUAUUCAAGUCGGGGGUGAAAUCCUGAGGCUCAACCUCAGAACUGCCUUCGAUACUGUUUAGCUCGAGUGUGGAAGAGGUUGGUGGAACUGCGAGUGUAGAGGUGAAAUUCGUAGAUAUUCGCAAGAACACCAGUGGCGAAGGCGGCCAACUGGUCCAUUACUGACGCUGAGAUGCGAAAGCGUGGGGAGCAAACAGG
rnacentral:rRNA from 1 species